rnacentral:tRNA from 2 species
GAGGUCGUGGUGUAAUGGUAGCAUCACUGAUUUUUACUCAGGCGGGUGAGGGUUCAAAUCCUUCCGACCUCA